UGGAGUUGAACCUUGAUUACGAUACACUAUCAGGUACGCUCAUCCCUUAUCUUCAAAAUAUAUAAAAAAAAUAUGAUAUAUGUAAAGUACACUUCUUGGGUGUUACUAAAAUUAAAAUGAAAAUUAUGAAAUAUUAUCCUUAUUGAUCACUUGCUAAUAUUUAAAAAUAAAAGUAACAUGUUUUUUAAAUCAUUCAUAAAGGUGAAUAUUUCUAUAUCUUGUAUAUAUUUUAUUUUUUUUACAUUGUUCAAAGGUCUUGAUAUUUUACGGGUGUCAUCGAAAAAUUUGCAAGGUUUGAUGCUGGAUAGGCUAUAUAGAAUUUAAUUAACUUUAAAUAAAGUCUCGUAUUCUAAUUUAAUAAAUAAAAAAGUAAUUAAGUGAAAUUCUUUGUUCAACCUAUAUUUAUAUUUUUUAAAACUUCAAAAACUUUAGUCAAUAUUAGAUAUGGUAAUUUGUCUUUUCUAUUUAUUCGUUGCAUGAAAUAAUUAAAAACAUAAGUUGAAUAAAACUUGCAAGAAAUUAGACAGUGCGGAAAAAAUAAUUUAAAACAAUAACUACAUAAUUUAAAUAAAAAAAACACUCAUUAUUAUGGAUUAUAGAUAUUUUUUUAUAUUAACCAAAUAUUUCCAUAAAAUGAUAUCUUCCUAAUUGGACAAAUAUUCGUUCGAUCUGAUCUCUUUCAUCAAACCAAUGAAAACAUUUAAUUUUUUAAUGCAAAUUAACUAAGUUAUUAAUUACACUUAACUAAAUUUUCCUCUUUUUAUAUUAAUUACUUUUAAGAGUGUAAAAUGACAAAUAAAGGGAGUUAGUAAUGGAUGGUUUUAGGUGAAUGACAAAAAAGAACUUUUAAUUGUAAUUUAUUAUUCGGAUAUUCCUUUUUUGAAUUGAUACUUCUCUUUUUAAGACAUAGUAGGUUUUAAUAGAAAAUACCUUUUAACAACAUUGCACUGUUCCCCCUUUUCAUGUUUUAGAGGUCUUUGCAACCUCUUCAGAAGCAAAAUGAGUGUAAAAGUGUUAUAUUAUAGUUAUCGACGUUGCAAAAGCACUUUGGCGUCGUGCUUAUUUUCCCAUGUCGCUUAAUAUUCGGCUAAUUAAAGCCUCCUUCUUUCCGGUAAGAGGAAGAUUAUGUGCGGUAAGAUAAUAUUUCAACUCCACCACAGUCAAAUCCUUUAACUGCAAAACAAUAUCAAAUUAUUCCGUCAGAAUAGAUUAAUUUGUAAAACUUUUAAAAGUUUCUAGAAAUUUAGAGAAAAGGUCACUUUUCAUGAAAUGAAAUAGAAUAUUUUUGUCAAAUGACUAGAAAAAUCUUCCUAUUCAUUUUAACAUAUUUUUUAUUUUAAAUUGAUUAUCAAUAGAAUAUUUUUUAUUUCCUUGCAGUCUAACAUAACAUGGAUUCCAUUUAAUUGUUGAGUCAAGUCAGUACGGCAGUUGUUGAGCAUAGUCCACCGUCGCGGAGUCCACCGCUGUCGAGUCCACCGCUGUGGAGUGCACCGCUGUCGAGUUGUCGAGUCCACCGUUGUGGAGUCCACCGUUGUGGAGUCCGCCGUUGUGGAGUCCGCUGCUGUCGAGUCCGCAGUUGUCGAGCCCACCGUCGUGGAGUCCACUGUUGUCGAGUCCACUGUUGUCGAGCCCACCGUCGUGGAGUCCACAGUCAUUGCCGACUUGGGCCAAUGUCUAGUCAUGUUAGCCCGGGCUCAUGUCGACUCUUGAGUCGGUCUCGACUGUUUUUGAAACUAGUCAGCCCAUCUCAACCUGAGUUGGGCGAAUGUUGAGCCAAGUUGACUCAGGCUCAUGCCUUAGGUCGAGCCUAGUUCGCCCGAGUCGACUCGAGUCCAUGGGUGGAGUCGGUCCGGGUCCAUGCCUACCUAUGUCAGGUUAGAUAAUCCACUUUAUAUCUAGAUUUAAUCCACUUUAAAUAGGAUAUGUACCUAGACUUAAUCCACUUUAAAUGGAUUUGAAAAAAUCCAUAAAUUUGAUUAGUUAAAAUGGAUAUGAACCUAGAUUUAAUCCACUUUAAAUGGAUUUGAAAAAAUCCAUAAAUUUGAUUAGUUAAAAUGGAUAUGUACCUAGAUUUAAUCCAGAUUUAAUCCACUUUAAAUGGAUUUGAAAAAAUACAUAAAUUUGAUUAGUUAAAAUGGAUAUGGAUUUGAAAUCAUUUUUAAAAUCCAAUCCAUGACCACUCGUAACUGUAUGGCUUGUCCAGUACAGUUUGCAGUAUGUUCGUUGUAAAAUUGGCUGAAGCUUAAGCACACCUGCCUAUCCCACAAAUAAGCAGUGCAUGAAAUAACUUCCAAGAAUUACCUUUCCAGUAUCAGCAAGCUCACCCCAGUCAUAUUGUUCACACUCUUUUGUUGCAAACUCUGCAUUUGCUUUUCGUUUCUUUGAGGCUUCAGUUGGCUUCCCAAUGCCCUGCUCAUUCUCCUCAUCAUAGUUAUCCCCAUAUACAGAGGUUUUGAAUUCUUCUAAUGCCUUCACCACUCCUGGUCUGCAGGUAACAAGCAGGAUUAUCAUUUCAUACUAAACUCUUAAACAGCAAAUAUUUUCCAAUGAAGAGAUCAAAGGUCAAACAGAACAAAGCAUUUUCUCAGUUUCAUUUUUACAGUCUGCAAAAUUAAGACUCAACAAAAUACUCAAUUAAUUAUGAAAUAACUCGAGCUUACCUGGCCAAGCCUUCCUCGUCAGGUAAUGUUUCAUCUUUCAUUUCCGGAAUAUCAUACUCUUCCAAUGCCAAUGCCUGAAGUACAGCAUAGUGUCUUUGCAAGGCUGAUAAUGAAAAAGCUUAUUUGUUACCAACAGUAAUCAUAAUAUCUUUUCAUUUUGCAAAUGGGAAUAAUAAAUAGAAGUAGAACAAGUCACACAUAGCAAGUAACUAAUGAUCAUACACUAUAAAGGAAUAAAAUCAAAAAUAAGUAAACAGGCAUGAAGUUAAUAUAUUUUUUUCUACAGUUUAUUCAUUUCAUUGAGUAAAAAUUCAACAAAAGGUCAAAUUCUUGGGAAAAGUUAAAGGAAUGGAAUGUAUAAAUGCAAUGCUUUUCAACAAAAAAAUAAACUAUCAGAGUUGAAGUUAUGAAAAUAUUGGGGUAGAUGAGAUGGGUUAAAAAGGAUGAGAGUCAGAGGCAUAUUAAGAAAAAUACGAGAGAAUCUAGCCUAAAUGAUUUGGUCAUGCAGGGAGAAAUCAACAGCAGCCCAAGUAAGAAAAGCGGAUGAACAAAAAGAUUAACAAAAACGACAUUUUAUGUUUCAUUGAACAAGCUCUUGAUCUUUCCAAAAAAUUGGUUUUUAAGAUAUAGCACAGUGGCUUCAUUCGAUCAAGGUGGUAAACAACCACCGAGUGAAAAAGCUUUGGAUGCAAUUUAUCAGGUUCAGAAAUAAACUCUUCAAUAUAUACAUCAUUUAUGUUUAAACAACAAACAAGAUCAGUAGAAUAUUUCUCCAAACAAUGAACAUUAUAUUUGGAGAAAUCUUGAGUAGAACACUGUCUUUAUUUAUUUUCAACCACCCUUCGUAUAGAAAUCACCCAUAUCUUGAAGUAAACUGUCCAUAAUUCAGGCGAGGUAAGAGUUUGUAUUUAAGGUUUAAGUAAUGAUGAUGACACAAUGCAGCAGAUAACCAAUGAAGCUAACUAGAAGUAUAUACAGAACUUGUCAAUCAUCAAGGAGAGGGAGUAAACUAGAGGAAGAGAGAAGAUGCUUACCAGGGUUGGUAAAUUGGCAUACAGAAAAAUCUUUCAAGUCAACACGCUUAAUUAAAUCAGCUGCCUUUUUUAUUUGAUCACUACUUGCUUUAGUCACCAUCCCACUUGUAUCUGAAUAACGCUGUAAAAAUCAUACCCAGCAAGACAAUAACUUCAUAUUUAAAAUUUUCACCGUUAUUGACAUUAUAAGUUUGAAGACGAAAUAUUGCAGUUUUCUACCUCUUCAACAAGUCUAAUGUCAUCAGAAUAUGGAAGAUAAAUCAUGUGCAUUCCGGGUGGCUCAAUCUGACUACCUGAUUGAACAACUUCUUCCUAACAAUCAUACACAAGUUAAGAAUCUGAUACAAACACAUAAAAUCAAUAGUUGAGAUUAUGAUUACAUUGUACUGAUUGCAAUCAUGUUAUUGAGAUCUUUCUAGAUAUAGGUUAAAUAUGUGUUAAUUCAGGAGUUUGGAAUGAUUCAAAGUGAAGCACACCACUUUUUGUUCUAUAUAUGUUUUUCCAAUCUAUGCAUUUACUCAUUUGUUUAUGCUGAUAAUAUAAUGAUUGCAAGUGAUGAUCUUGAUGGUAUUGAAUGCCUCAAACAACAAAGAUUUUCUUCAAAUAUUUAGGAGAGCGGCAUGCUGGAUAAUGAGCCAAAUGAUUCUCAUGUACCCAAAUGGAGGCUUCUACCUAACCAGGAUGUCCUAUUCUGAUCCUAGGGAUGCUACAGGUUGGUUGGCAAAGUUAAUUAAUUGACAUAUCAAAGCCAGACAUGGGGCAGAUUGUUCAACUGACAAGCAAUCUAUUCCUGACAACUAUGGUUUUAAAAAGUAAUCUCAUUCCAUGGAGGAGUAUACAGCAAAAUGUUUGAGAGGUCCAAUGCAAAGGCAAACUACUACCUGACCAUAGCCCUCACCACAUGUGAACUCGUAAGUCGUGAGUGAAACAACUUCUCCAAGUGUUACAAUUUUGCAUAGAAGGUAUUGGAAAGUUAUCUUAAUUGCAAUCAACGGCCCGCCUCAUCUGUGGCCUCUCUAGGGUUGUCUUAAUUGCAACCUCAAGGAUGGUAAUUUAGUCCCAACUAGAAAUACGGCUUAAAUAUAGCUUAUAAAACUUGGGUGAACCUUACCAACUCAUUUUAUAAGGUUAAGUUAGGUCUUCUAAGAUGGUAUUAGAGUCCUUCCAAGAUUAUUAUUAGAUUACAUGUAUUUGCCACGCUACAGGCCUGUAGCUGUAGCAUGGCCAUGAGGGGGAAUGUUAGAAAAUCACCUUUAUGGCAAUCAGCACUAGCCCAACUCAGGUGGAACCUCUUUGGGGACUGUGUUAAUUGUCAGCUGUUAAAGGUGGUGAUUUAGUCUCAAAUUGAUUAGAUAUGACACAAAUAAAACUUAUAAAGAUUGGACAGUUCUCUUACAAACUGGUUUUGUGAGAUUGGGUUAGGUUUUCUAAGUCUAUGCCUUAUAAACCUUAUUUGUGACAACUGAGCAGCCUUGUACAUUGUCUUUCAUCAAGCUUUUCAUGAACAAACAACAAAUUGAGAUUUACUAUAAUUUUAUUCAUAAUAAAAUUAUCUUAGAGGAGAUCGCUACAUCAUUUGCUGGUAAGCAACCAGGACCAGCAUACCAAAUUUUAAAUUAUAGCACUUGGACUUCUAUUAACCAUAUUAUCUCAAAGACAUUCCGAUGUGGCUAUAGUAGGAAUUAGUCAAUAACUUGAGAUGUAGAGAAGAAAGCUUGAGCAUAAGUAAAAAGAUCAAAGUCCAGGAAAUAUAAGUAAACAAAAGAAUGCAAGACAAUUACAACAGCAAAGUAGCGCUCUAAAAUUAUUCAGAAGUUGAGAGGCAAAGCCAUCAAACUACCACGUCACAUUAGCUUUGAAGUCAAGAAAGCAAUCAUUCGUAAUAAUGCCAA
rnacentral:lncRNA from 1 species